rnacentral:rRNA from 1 species
GAGUUUGAUCAUGGCUCAGGACGAACGCUGGCGGCGUGCUUAACACAUGCAAGUCGAACGGUAAGGCUCCAGCUUGCUGGGGUACACGAGUGGCGAACGGGUGAGUAACACGUGGGUGACCUGCCCUGCACUUCGGGGAUAAGCCUGGGAAACUGGGUCUAAUACCGGAUAGGACCGCACCGUGAGGGUGUGGUGGAAAGUUUUUCCGGUGUGGGAUGGGCCCGCGGCCUAUCAGCUUGUUGGUGGGGUAAUGGCCUACCAAGGCGGCGACGGGUAGCCGGCCUGAGAGGGUGGACGGCCACAUUGGGACUGAGACACGGCCCAGACUCCUACGGGAGGCAGCAGUGGGGAGUAUUGCACAAUGGGCGGAAGCCUGAUGCAGCGACGCCGCGUGGGGGA